rnacentral:rRNA from 1 species
CACACCGCCCGUCACGCCAUGGGAGUUGGUGCUACUUGAAAAGGCAAAGCUAACCGCAAGGAGGCAUGUCUUAAUGGUAGUACCGAUGACUGGGGUG